AACGCUAGCUACAGGCUUAACACAUGCAAGUCGAGGGGCAGCAUGGUCUUAGCUUGCUAAGACUGAUGGCGACCGGCGCACGGGUGAGUAACACGUAUCCAACCUGCCGUCUACUCUUGGACAGCCUUCUGAAAGGAAGAUUAAUACAAGAUGGCAUCAUGAGUCCACAUGUUCACAUGAUUAAAGGUAUUCCGGUAGACGAUGGGGAUGCGUUCCAUUAGAUAGUAGGCGGGGUAACGGCCCACCUAGUCUUCGAUGGAUAGGGGUUCUGAGAGGAAGGUCCCCCACAUUGGAACUGAGACACGGUCCAAACUCCUACGGGAGGCAGCAGUGAGGAAUAUUGGUCAAUGGGCGAGAGCCUGAACCAGCCAAGUAGCGUGAAGGAUGACUGCCCUAUGGGUUGUAAACUUCUUUUAUAAAGGAAUAAAGUCGGGUAUGCAUACCCGUUUGCAUGUACUUUAUGAAUAAGGAUCGGCUAACUCCGUGCCAGCAGCCGCGGUAAUACGGAGGAUCCGAGCGUUAUCCGGAUUUAUUGGGUUUAAAGGGAGCGUAGAUGGAUGUUUAAGUCAGUUGUGAAAGUUUGCGGCUCAACCGUAAAAUUGCAGUUGAUACUGGAUAUCUUGAGUGCAGUUGAGGCAGGCGGAAUUCGUGGUGUAGCGGUGAAAUGCUUAGAUAUCACGAAGAACUCCGAUUGCGAAGGCAGCCUGCUAAGCUGCAACUGACAUUGAGGCUCGAAAGUGUGGGUAUCAAACAGGAUUAGAUACCCUGGUAGUCCACACGGUAAACGAUGAAUACUCGCUGUUUGCGAUAUACAGCAAGCGGCCAAGCGAAAGCGUUAAGUAUUCCACCUGGGGAGUACGCCGGCAACGGUGAAACUCAAAGGAAUUGACGGGGGCCCGCACAAGCGGAGGAACAUGUGGUUUAAUUCGAUGAUACGCGAGGAACCUUACCCGGGCUUAAAUUGCAGAUGAAUUACGGUGAAAGCCGUAAGCCGCAAGGCAUCUGUGAAGGUGCUGCAUGGUUGUCGUCAGCUCGUGCCGUGAGGUGUCGGCUUAAGUGCCAUAACGAGCGCAACCCUUGUUGUCAGUUACUAACAGGUCCUGCUGAGGACUCUGACAAGACUGCCAUCGUAAGAUGUGAGGAAGGUGGGGAUGACGUCAAAUCAGCACGGCCCUUACGUCCGGGGCUACACACGUGUUACAAUGGGGGGUACAGAGGGCCGCUACCACGCGAGUGGAUGCCAAUCCCCAAAACCUCUCUCAGUUCGGACUGGAGUCUGCAACCCGACUCCACGAAGCUGGAUUCGCUAGUAAUCGCGCAUCAGCCACGGCGCGGUGAAUACGUUCCCGGGCCUUGUACACACCGCCCGUCAAGCCAUGGGAGCCGGGGGUACCUGAAGUGCGUAACCGCGAGGAGCGCCCUAGGGUAAAACUGGUGACUGGGGCUAAG
rnacentral:rRNA from 1 species